GGCCGGUUGGCCCAAUGGCAAGGCGUCUGACUACGAUACUCCGUGGAAUCAGGAGAUUGUGGGUUCGACCCCCAUGCUGGUCA
rnacentral:tRNA from 1 species